rnacentral:rRNA from 1 species
AUUGAACGCUGGCGGCAGGCCUAACACAUGCAAGUCGAGCGGAUGAAGGGAGCUUGCUCCUGGAUUCAGCGGCGGACGGGUGAGUAAUGCCUAGGAAUCUGCCUGGUAGUGGGGGAUAACGCCCGGAAACGGGCGCUAAUACCGCAUACGUCCUGAGGGAGAAAGUGGGGGAUCUUCGGACCUCACGCUAUCAGAUGAGCCUAGGUCGGAUUAGCUAGUUGGUGGGGUAAAGGCCUACCAAGGCGACGAUCCGUAACUGGUCUGAGAGGAUGAUCAGUCACACUGGAACUGAGACACGGUCCAGACUCCUACGGGAGGCAGCAGUGGGGAAUAUUGGACAAUGGGCGAAAGCCUGAUCCAGCCAUGCCGCGUGUGUGAAGAAGGUCUUCGGAUUGUAAAGCACUUUAAGUUGGGAGGAAGGGCAGUAAGUCAAUACCUUGCUGUUUUGACGUUACCAACAGAAUAAGCACCGGCUAACUUCGUG